AUUGAACGCUGGCGGCAGGCCUAACACAUGCAAGUCGAGCGGUAGCACAGAGAGCUUGCUCUCGGGUGACGAGCGGCGGACGGGUGAGUAAUGUCUGGGAAACUGCCUGAUGGAGGGGGAUAACUACUGGAAACGGUAGCUAAUACCGCAUAANGUCGCAAGACCAAAGUGGGGGACCUUCGGGCCUCAUGCCAUCAGAUGUGCCCAGAUGGGAUUAGCUAGUAGGUGGGGUAACGGCUCACCUAGGCGACGAUCCCUAGCUGGUCUGAGAGGAUGACCAGCCACACUGGAACUGAGACACGGUCCAGACUCCUACGGGAGGCAGCAGUGGGGAAUAUUGCACAAUGGGCGCAAGCCUGAUGCAGCCAUGCCGCGUGUGUGAAGAAGGCCUUCGGGUUGUAAAGCACUUUCAGCGGGGAGGAAGGCGNUNAGGUUAAUAACCUNNNCGAUUGACGUUACCCGCAGAAGAAGCACCGGCUAACUCCGUGCCAGCAGCCGCGGUAAUACGGAGGGUGCAAGCGUUAAUCGGAAUUACUGGGCGUAAAGCGCACGCAGGCGGUCUGUCAAGUCGGAUGUGAAAUCCCCGGGCUCAACCUGGGAACUGCAUUCGAAACUGGCAGGCUAGAGUCUUGUAGAGGGGGGUAGAAUUCCAGGUGUAGCGGUGAAAUGCGUAGAGAUCUGGAGGAAUACCGGUGGCGAAGGCGGCCCCCUGGACAAAGACUGACGCUCAGGUGCGAAAGCGUGGGGAGCAAACAGGAUUAGAUACCCUGGUAGUCCACGCCGUAAACGAUGUCGAUUUGGAGGUUGUGCCCUUGAGGCGUGGCUUCCGGAGCUAACGCGUUAAAUCGACCGCCUGGGGAGUACGGCCGCAAGGUUAAAACUCAAAUGAAUUGACGGGGGCCCGCACAAGCGGUGGAGCAUGUGGUUUAAUUCGAUGCAACGCGAAGAACCUUACCUGGUCUUGACAUCCACAGAACUUUCCAGAGAUGGAUUGGUGCCUUCGGGAACUGUGAGACAGGUGCUGCAUGGCUGUCGUCAGCUCGUGUUGUGAAAUGUUGGGUUAAGUCCCGCAACGAGCGCAACCCUUAUCCUUUGUUGCCAGCGGUNNGGCCGGGAACUCAAAGGAGACUGCCAGUGAUAAACUGGAGGAAGGUGGGGAUGACGUCAAGUCAUCAUGGCCCUUACGACCAGGGCUACACACGUGCUACAAUGGCAUAUACAAAGAGAAGCGACCUCGCGAGAGCAAGCGGACCUCAUAAAGUAUGUCGUAGUCCGGAUUGGAGUCUGCAACUCGACUCCAUGAAGUCGGAAUCGCUAGUAAUCGUAGAUCAGAAUGCUACGGUGAAUACGUUCCCGGGCCUUGUACACACCGCCCGUCACACCAUGGGAGUGGGUUGCAAAAGAAGUAGGUAGCUUAACCUUCGGGAGGGCGCUUACCACUUUGUGAUUCAUGACUGGGGUGAAG
rnacentral:rRNA from 1 species